AAAAGUCGUAACAAGGUUUCCGUAGGUGAACCUGCGGAAGGAUCAUUACCGAGUUGCCCUCCGGGGUACGCUCCACCCCUGCAUAUUCUACCAUUUGUUGCUUUGGCGGGUCACCCGGUCCGUCGAGCGCCCGCUCGUGCGGGAGAGCGCCCGCCAGAGGCCCCUAAACCCCUMGUGAACGUACCUUGUCUGAGGCCUACCUAACAUGAAAACUUUCAACAACGGAUCUCUUGGCUCUGGCAUCGAUGAAGAACGCAGCGAAAUGCGAUAAGUAAUGCGAAUUGCAGAACUCAGUGAAUCAUCGAAUCUUUGAACGCACAUUGCGCCCCCUGGUACUCCGGGGGGCAUGCCUGUCCGAGCGUCAUGACACCACUCAAGCCCCGCUUGGUGUUGGGCCGCGCCAGCGAUGGCGGGCCCUAAUCGUAUUGGCGGCGCCGUCGGGUCCCGAGCGUAGUAACUGUGCCUCGCUACGGGAUCGGGCGCGCGGCGACCAGACCUCUUGCCAUCGGUUGACCUCGGAUCAGGUAGGGACACCCGCUGAACUAAGCAUAUCAAAGGGAAAAGAAAAAUUUUGGGGGAUUUCAUUUGACCAAUUACGAAGUAAGUCCUCAAUUUAAGAAAAUCGAGGAAAAGGAAGGAUGGGGUUUCC
rnacentral:rRNA from 1 species